GAUUACCCGCUGAACUUAAGCAUAUUCAAUAACGGAGGAAAAGAAACUAACAGGAUUCCCUUGGUAACGGCGAGUGAAGAGGGAAGAGCCCAGCACCGAAGCCUGGCGGCAGUUUUGCUGUUAGGCAAUGUGGUGUGUGGGUGUCGCUCGCGGACAUACUCACUCGAGUCAGCAUGGUAUGCAAUCACUGAUUGGCAUAGAGGGUGAGAGGAUCGUACGGGUGGAGGUUCAGACAUGUACGAUGGUUCACCAGGCCGGCCUCAGAGUCGGGGUGUUUGUGAAUGCAGC
rnacentral:rRNA from 1 species